GAGAGGACGAUCAGGCAGACUGGGACUGAGACACGGGCCAGACUCCUACAGGAGGCAGCAGCAAGGAAGUAUCCGCAGUGGGCGCAAGCCUGCCUGAAGCAACGCCGCGUGCCUGCAGACGGCCUUCGUCUAGUAAACAAGCUUNUGUUGGGGAAGAAACGGACGGUACCCACCGAAUAAGACCCGGCUAACUCCGUGCCAGCAGCCGCGGAAGACGGAGGGGGCGAGCGUAGUCCGGACUCACUGGGCGUAAAGCGUGCGUAACGCGGGUACGGAGCGGUCGCCNCUGAUAGGCACCCGGCUCAACCGGGUGAGUGUGUGGUGAUACGACCGACCUAGGUGGCAAGGAGAGGGUGUGCGUGAAUACCGCGUGUAGUGAGUGAAAUGCGUAGAUAACCGGCGGGAGUGUCGUUGGCGAAGGAGGCGCACUGGUCUUGACCUAGACGCUGAGGAACGACGGCGUGGUGAGCAACCCGGAUUAUAAUACCCGGGUAGGUCCCACCCCGGAAAACAAUGUUAGGCUCGGCGUAUAUAGUUGGCACACCCAUGGUGUAGUCCAGCUCACGCGGUAAGCCGACCGCCUGGGGACUACCGAGGCGCAAGCUUAAAACUCAAAGGAAUUGACUGGGGCACCGCACAAGCAGCGGAGCGUGUGGUUUAAUUCGACGCAACGCGAAGAACCUUACCCAGGUUUGACAUGCAGCUGCAAGCGCACGGAAACGUGUGACCUUCGAGGGUGCAGCACAGGUGCUGCAUGGCUGUCGUCAGCUCGUGUCGUGAGAUGUUGGGUUAAGUCCCGCAACGAGCGCAACCCUUGCCGUCAGUUACAAGUGUCUGGCGGGACAGCCCUCGCUAUGGGGGAGGAAGGCGGGGAUGACGUCAAGUCAGCAUGGCCCUUACGCCUGGGGCGACACACACGCUACAAUGCCGACCACAAUGCGCUGCAACCACGCAAGUGCAAGCUAAUCGCCAAAGGUCGGCUCAGUGCAGAUCGGGGGC
rnacentral:rRNA from 1 species